ACAUAAAUAGAUUUUUAUAAAUCUUAAGCUACCAUAAAUGAGAGGCAGUUACAAUCGGAAUGUAGGUUCAUCUUCAAAGCCAGCUCUUGCCAUACACAGCAAUAUCAGUUUCAAACUCUGCACGCAAGGUGCAGAAGCGUAGUAUGAGUACAACCAACCCCACAGACUAAAUAACUAACAAAUCUAAUCUUAGGUUGAAAGCAGUGAUAAACUUGGACAACGGACAGAGUCCAACACCAAUAGCCAACAACAAUUCAUAACAAUAUAAUAAAGGCCAAAUACAUAGAUAGCCUCUUAAACUUGGCUUCAAAUUCCAUUUAAACACUUUAACAAAGAACUUAUACUUAUUAGACACUUCAACUCUUACCAAAAUAUACCUAUUGAACACUUCCUGCUUAUGUGGCACAAAAAGUGAAUCUCACUUAGAGUGAGGCGUGUAAAGCUAAAAUAUACUAUAAUUCGUUUUUCUUUCUUCCUAUUUCUUCUUCACAUAACUCCCUCCCACAGUCCCACCAUGAUCAUAUUCUUCCACUAUAGAAAUGUUCAUCCAUAGCCAUAUACCUCAUAUAAUUAACCAAAAACAAAAAAACAAAAUUCAAAACAAAAAGAAAAGAAAAAAGCUUGAAAAUCUCAGCUUCGGAAAAAAGACGAACAAAUAAAACAAGUUGAAAGGAGAUAAAUUAGAAACGAUGGAACAAAAACCCAGUUGAUAGCAAUUGAAAAAUGAGAAAAAGGUUAGAGAGAAAAAGACAACUUAUCCAGAAUAAUAAUAGUAAGGAUUAAAGAAAAGCAGGCGAAAUUUUUAAAGCUUUUUUACACCGACUACCGGCGGCGAUAUCGCACUGCCGUUGUUUCAUCGUUGAAGACCCACCACGCCUUUGAACCUCUUCAAAUUCAAAACCACAAGAGUCAUUAAAAACAUGGGCAUAAAAAUUAGAGAAGGAAGCAACAUCACCAGAAAUAUUUUGGCCGGAAGUGUGAGUACUUACCGGAACAUUCUCUGGCAUUCUUCCCUCUUUCAUAUUGUCUCCUUCUUUCUUUUUAAAGUACUUCUCUAAGAAUCAUUAAACUCCAAAAUCAAAAAAGCGUAGUAGCAAAUAUCCUUGAUAGCCAGAAAACUUUCCGCCAAGUCGUGGCGGAAAUAUUUUAAGGGAACUUCCCCCCAAGAACGUGAAGAAGAG
rnacentral:lncRNA from 1 species